rnacentral:rRNA from 1 species
AACGAACGCUGGCGGCAGGCCUAACACAUGCAAGUCGAACGCCGUAGCAAUACGGAGUGGCAGACGGGUGAGUAACGCGUGGGAACAUACCCCUCGGUUCGGAAUAACUCAGGGAAACUUGAGCUAAUACCGGAUACGUCCGAGGUUUUGAUCGACCUUGGAGAAAGAUUUAUCGCCGAAGGAUUGGCCCGCGUCUGAUUAGCUAGUUGGCAGGGUAACGGCCUACCAAGGCGACGAUCCGAGCCGGCCUGAGAGGGUGAACGGCCACACUGGAACUGAGACACGGUCCAGACUCCUACGGGAGGCAGCAGUGAGGAAUUUUGCGCAAUGGGUGAAAGCCUGACGCAGCAACGCCGCGUGGACGACGAAGGUCUUCGGAUCGUAAAGUCCUGUCGAGUGGGAAANAAAAAUGUGGGCGCUAAUACCGCUUGCAUUCGACUGUACCACCAAAGGAAGCCCCG